AAGUCUAAGUUGUUAACGGAUACGAUAUGGGAAGGUUGAGCUGCUGUUUAUCUGUUCCUAGAGAUGCUAGAAUUAUAGAGAAUUUUAUCUUUUAAAAUCUUUAAAAUAGCACAUGAUGAGUUCCUGUAUGAUGAGAGUUUAAAUUCCUACCACAGCCAUAUAAACAUGCUUGCUAGACUUUGAGCCACACAUUCACUUUUUACUGCUUAUGAGCAUUGAGUGUGGUCAAGCUGUGUAGACCCUUAGGAGCUUGUCAUGUGGUUAAAUCAAGAUUCACUUGCACAUUCACUCACACAUGCUGCUUCUACUCCGGAAGUACGCAUCCACAUAUAUCCACCCAUUUCCAUCUCCAGAAUCCUAAAAAUAUUCUACUCCUAAUCUGGGAGAGAAUAGCCAAAAACAUUUCUGUUUUUCCCCUGUGAAAUAAAUGCUCAACUUAUCUUGGUUACUACCACUUGCUAUAUUAUCUCAUGAAAUGAGUGCUCUAAAAAAAGAAGAAAAUACGAGGAAAUAAAAAGGGGCAAGUGCCCGGAACCUCUAAUAAAAGAAAAAGUGAGAUGAGAGGUAUAAAUAGACAAGUGUCCGACAGUAGAAUUAGGAGUACAAAAUACCCACCUGAGAGAAAAGAAAAAGAAAAUAUAGAGCAUCUCAUUCUCCUAGAAAAGUUUCAAAAGAGCAAGGAAGGUAUGUAUCCCCUCAAAAGAGCAAAAGUAGAAUUAGACUUUCACCAUUGUUAUCACCAUCAUCACCAUAUACCAUUUAUUCACCACACAUGCACAUCUUGAUUUGACUUAUUGGCUUGUUUCUUUCGAUCCAUGGGUUGACUAUGCAAUAAAUGUCUUGUAAGUAUGUAUACUUUAUCUCCCACCUAUGAGCUCCAGAUAUCAAAAGCUUUAUUAGAGUAGGGUGAGAGAGAAGGCAAUGUUACUAUGCCUUAUACCACAAAUACUACAUAUUUUGAGAGAAGGCAUAUACCAUCACUGCCUUGGUAAGGAUCCAGAAAUACCACAAAAGAAAGAUUUGAGAGAAUCAUACAAGGAAUCUCUGAGUUUUAUUUGAAAAUCUGCAAAAACUCCAGAGCUAUAGCUGAUCAAGAAUAAGAGACAUGGCACUUGAUUAGACCAUUCUAUCUUUUAACUACUCAAGACAGAAGUGACGGUUACAAGUCCCAUGGUGAAAGGUAAAGUAAGUAAGUUUUAAGUCUUGAUAGUUUACUCUAACUCAGUGAUGAGAUCUUAUUUAAAAGCAUGUGUACCGUCAACUUUUAAAGGCAUUUCAACAACUUCUAAUCCAUCGCUGAGAUUAUCCUUGCUCAGGGACGAGCAAGAGGUAAGCUUUGGGGAGUUUGUUGACGGUCCUUAAGUAUCAAAUUUAAUUAUCAAAUAAAUAAAGAAAAGGAUCUAAAUGCAAUCAACAUCUAGACUUAGGGUUUUAUCUGACAGAAUUCCACGAGUUUUGGUGUUUGUCUAUUUCAGCAGGGGGUUAUCAGGAAAUACGGAAGAAAGGCCCACUCGUCGGGAUUACAUAGAGAUAUUAACAAGCCGCAAAAUUAUCUUACAUCUAGAAAGUCCAGAAGCCACGGGAACGAACGGGAGACUGGAUGGGCUCAGGGGCAGGGCGCCCGCCCUCCCACCUUGGGCACCCGCCCUGGCCAGGAGUCCAAUCAGAACUCUCUUUCGGGAUUACGCUCCACCGACCUAAAGGAUCAAGGAUAACCGUUCAAUCAAUGUCAGUUUGAUCCGAUGGCCCAUAUUCACUAGGAGGGACUAUAAAACCAGAACCCCUGGCCCCUGGAGGAGAGAGCUCUCAACCCUAAUUCAUUAUUCAUCAAGGGAGAAGAAGCCUCUGAUCAAGCCUAGAGCCACCACAUCAAUUAUACAUCUAGAUUAGCAUAGAUACAUAGGAUUAGAACUAGAAGGAGUCAAUCUUUGAUUGGUUUCUAGAUCUGUCAAGAGGAUUCUUGGUAAUUCUCUAAUUGUUCUUCUAAUUGUUCAUCUUUGUUCUUCAAUAUUAUGAAUAUGACUUUGUUCUACAUCAAUAUAUUUCUUAUGACUUUGCUCUACUUGUUUACAUUCGCAAUUAUAUUGUUCUUAGUUUAUCAUAGUUGUAUACUUGGCUUAGUUAGAUUGGAAUUAUAUACAUGUUUAGGAUCGUAUAGCGUUUAUCCAUCGGAUCCAUGGGUAAGUGAUAGAUAUUGUGUAGGCGUGGUGCUCAUACCGUAUUUAUCUGCGAUUGUACCCUAUAUGCCAGAUCGUGGGGUAGUUCGUGAUAGUGACAGCUUCAUUGAUUCUUAUAUAGUCCCCCUGUUGUGUAUAUUGCUGGCAGAGCAACAUUAUUACAGGGAGUGAUUGCUAUGUUUCUCAUUUACCUUGAUAAUAUCAAUAUGCAUGGGCAUAAUCUUGUCUCACAAUGAUUGCUAAGUAUAAUUGCACUAACUAUGAUAUGCUAGACUGUAUAGUUAAGAAUAACUUAGGAAAUAUUCUUGUAGUUCGUUCUAAUUCCAUGCUAAUGACUUCCUAGAAUAUCUAAUUGAGGUGCUUAUGAUAUUUAUAUGUGGCUAAGUUAUGCUGAUCAUAUUAAUUAUCUUUGUCACUAUUCAUCACUUUAUAUAUCCUUUAUGUGACACUUAUCCCUGUAUGAAAGAGUUAGAUAAAUGUUCUCAAUUAUACAUGCAAUGAUAGAUACUCAAUCUUAUAUUCCAUUCUAUAAUCUACACUGAUGAUUACUAAUCCCUUCCUAGUGGUAAAAAUAUAAUUAACGAUACCUGGAAUACUUCCCGGUUAAAAUGCUACAUCGGUAUUAAUCUGUGCGCUUACAGAUCCCAUUUGUUAUUUAUUUGGAUCAGCAAUUGCAUAUUUCAAUACCGCGUCUCUUAUGUCUUGCUGGGGAUGACAACUUGGCUUAAGUGGCAUGAGGGAUAGGUUUGGCAUUUUUGGCACCGUUAUCAGAAUUAGAAAACUAAGUCUACUUUUGGUAAUGAUGUUAAGAAUACCCAACACAUCUCUUGAUAGGCCUCUCGGGCAGAGGCAAGGUCCGCCUUGAUGAGGCCCUUCUCCUUGUCAAGCUCGACGGCCGCGUCCUUGUAAAAAAUGGCCUCUUCCCGGGCCUUGGACGCAGCCUUCUCAGCCGUCAUGGUCCGCUCCCUUAGCUACACGGUUUCUUCUAUCGCCUUCUCUGAGGCAUCCCGAGCUUUGGUCAGGGUGGCCUCCCUCUCCUUCUUCUCCUCCUCAAGCGCCACGAGCUCCUUGUAGGCCUUGAGAAGCUUCUCCUGCGACUCCAGGAGUUUGUCCUUGAGAAGAGGGAGUUGUUCCCAGCCACCUCUUGUCGCAUGGAUAAAGCCCGACUUUAGGCGGGAGGUCUCCUUCAGGUCCUGCGACGAGUAGCCGAUCGAUGAGAACGCAAUACCAAACUCCUAGAUAGCUAAGGACCAAAAAUACUUACGAAGAAGGCUCGGCCAAGCCCGUUGUUGACAAUAUCCGACAUCAGGCCCACCACAUGCUUCAUCUAAAGCCGGAGCUCCUCAAGAUGCUCCCACUUCUUAGCUUCCUUCUGAUCGUCCAUAAAGAUGUUGGGCUCCGAUGGAUCGGUGGAAGCUCGAAGACGAAUCCGACCGGGGCCCCAAUUCUCCAUCUCCUCCUCUGUACGUGCAUUGAUGCCAUGGAUUAGCUCUUGAAUGGUCUCGAGCGAGCGUCCGUGGCGCAGGAAUUUGUCGACGAGAGAAGGGAACCGCCCGUCGUCAUCGACCGAACCCCAUGUCCUAGUCUCAUUGGCGUCGCCACUGCCGGAAGUGCCAGCCUCGUCCCCCUCCUCGGCGAUGGGUUCCUCCCAUGGCCGCCGGUCUCGGAGGAACCCCAGGGCAAGCCCGUCCAUGCCAUAGAGGGAGCCCUUGAUCUUUGAUUGAGGGUCCACAGGCGUGCGCAUUCUACACGCGAUAGCCACGACGCCGUCCUCCCACUUAAGUCAGCCGGGAUGGAGACUGGCCCCCCUAGACGGAGCCACGCAGGGGUCGGCGGGCCGUAGACCGGCAGCUCCUCCUCUCCGGUCCCAGGCCUCGGCGGCAACGGUAGUUUUGGCUAGGGUGGGCUUCGUGGUGGCGGUUCGAGCAGCUCUUCCAGCUGCUGACUCCCCUGAUGUUGCUGCCUCUGAAGCUCCAGCAGCUCUUGCUGCCGGUGUUGUUCCAAUAGCCCCUCGAGCUGCUCUCCCUGUUGCCGCUGCCUCUCUUCUCAUUCUUCUUCUUCCCGUCGCCACUGUUGUUGCUCCUCCUGCAGCUGUAGCUAUGGCUCCCGCUCGCGCUCUUCUUCCUCCUUCUUCCUCCUCUCCUCGACGGAGUGAAGCCCGAUGGGCCAUGGGGUCCGCUUCCCAAUGAGAGAAGUCCCGACCUCCUCGCCUGCAGAACAGACCUCCCUCGAGAGCCAAUCGUCGCCGGACCCGUCGCUUAUGGUGAUGGGAUCCCCCAUGCCCCCAGACUGGGGAGGCUCGGGGGCUCCCUCCUGCUCCAGAAGGCGAGGUGUCUCGACCUGCUUCGGUGGCGGGGACUGGGGAGGCUCGGGGGCUCCCUCCUGCUCUUGAGGGUGGGGCGUCUCGACCCGCCUUGGUGAUGGCGGGGCGGUCUCCUCCACCAAUGGACGAGGUGGGGUAUUCUCAACAUCCGUCGGUGGCCGAGGAUCGAAAGAACCUGUGAGCACUCAAAAACGAUACGUCAGUCGCAAAGAAGCUCGAUGCGAGAAUCACCUAGCUCCGAUAUUGCUGAAAGGAGAAUCAACCACUCACCCAAGCCUUUGGGAACCACCCCCACCUUCAGCUUCUUGGCCAUCGAGGGUUGGGCCUGUUCCAGUGGCCGUUUCAACCUGAGGAAAGGGGAAUAACAUAAGAAAAGUCGUAGCCCGAUAAUGCGCAAAGACAUCAGAAAACAAGAAUCACGACGUUAAGAUCUUACCCCACAGGAAGAGCGACACACCUGCCAGUGCCUCGACCGACUGGUCUCGAGCCGCCCCGCGUCGAGACUCCGGGCCUCUCAUAGGCAGGCGCAGGCCUCAGCUCAAUGUCUCCCGACUAGCGAGCGCCAGGGCCGGAGCUCCCACGACCCACUUCCCCCUGACUCGAGGCCGCCACGGCGGCACGGCCACGAGUCAGUGGCCCCGUCGCCAUAGUCUUAACCCGUUGGCCCGUCCUAGGCGCGGAAGGAGGUGGGGGCCGAGAAACGGCCCGACCCGGCACAGGCGCGGGAGGGGUGUCGGCGCGAGAACGGCUCGGUGAGGACGCCCUCUGUUGAUCAUCAUGGGGCCCGCCCGACGCCCCCUUAGGGGCUCCCAUCCACAGGACGUCGACAUCGGCUUGCGGCGGGCCCUCGAGGAUUUUGUCGAGACGAGCCGCCAUCCCCCCGGAAUCGUCGCUAUCAUCAUCACCGUCGUUGCCGUCGUCUUCCUCAAGAGAAUCCUCCUCGGGCUCCCCCUUCUGCCUCGACUUCGCGCGGCGUUUCUCGAGCGCUUGCCGCUCGAGGUUCUUUUUCUUCUCCUUCUUCUUCUCGAAGUCCUUUAUGGACUUUAGUUUCUCCGCGGACUCACGCCUCCUAUCUCGAUCAGCGUCGUCCUCCUUUACUGGAGGCCUCGAGGAUCAAGCGUCGAUCGAGCCCUGUAAAAACGGAAGUAAGUCUCGGAAAAAGACGGAAGAAUAAAAAAUCGGGCAAUUGCAAAGAAAGGCUCACCAGGUCAAUCGACCCCUCGUCAGGCUUCAUGGGGAAGCCGUUGACGUGCCCAGGCUGAAAAUCGCCUACGAAGGCCGCCCUGACUCUAGCAGCAACCUCGUCAUCCGCAGGCGCCUCGUUGGACAUCUGACAUGCCUCGAGGUCGCGAGAUGAAACACCGGGACCCAUCUCGUCCAUCCUCAGCGGCCGAGACAUCAACGGGAGUACCCGUCGAUGGUGGACGGCAGAAAGGACGAACGCGGCGGUCAGGCCUUUCUCGCACAGAUUCUUCGGGGCGUCGAGGAUGAGUCGGAGCUGCGACUGGUGGGUCUAGACGAUGCCAUAUUUCUAGUGGUCCGGACGCUUCGAAAUCAAGCACUCGGUGUAGGCGGGGAAGAUGUCGUUGUCGUUCCGCAGGUAGAACCACUAGAAGUCCUACCCGGCGUGGUUUGACGUUAGCCCCACCGGGAUGUACUCUCAAGGCUCCUCCGCCUUGCCGGUCUUCAGCAUCAGGUUGAGGCAGCCGGCCCGCAUCGGCUUCCUCACCCCUCUGGACCCACCGGGGGCGUGGAAGAGCUCGCCCCGGUAUAGGUGGAGCCACAGGUCCCAAUGCGGCAUCAUCCCCAGGUAGCCCUCACACACCGCAGCAAAAAUCGCCGUGGUGGUGAUGGCGUUCGGCGAAAAGUGUUGGAGCUCCACACCGUAGUUGUGGCAGAGCGCCUGCAUGAAGCGGCUCAGGGGGAACCUAGGCCGUGGCGGUGGAACUUGGCAAAGGAGACCACGUACCCCUUGGGCGGUCUCGAUUCCCGGUGGUCCACCGCCGGCGCGAUCCACUCUGACUGCGACGAGAAAACGUGGGGGCGCAGGAGCCCCUCCUUCUCGAGCUCCAGUAGUCGGCGCUCCGUCAUCUAUUGUGGCAGAACCUCCUGAAUUAAGUGGCCCACAUACACCCAUCGUUGUCUCAAAGACUUCCAAUCGGCGUGUACGAGUUCCAAAUGAUUCAAGAAGUCUGUCGGGUGUCCUCGGGAAACCCGAAUCAUCCACGUUACAUUCUUUUCAGGAAUUCCCUCAUCAAGCGUCACAGUAUUACAACAUUUCAUGGAUAAGAGAGAUCAGAGUAAAAGCGGAAAGGUUAUAUAACAUAGUUUGAAACUUAAGUUCAACGGUUACAAACCAUAAGUAUUUAGUACAUAAAAGGUUCGGAACUUAUUAUUACAUAAACCAUAGAUCACACAACAAGUUUUUACUUGCCCAAGGUCACACAUCAGGUUCAUCAUCAUCACUCUCCUCCACAAGAGUAAAGUAACCAUGACCAUCAAAGGGAUUAUCAAAAGGCUCACCUGCAACAUGGGUUAAUAAACCCUGAGUACAAAAGUACUCAACAAGACUUAACCGACUAGAAAAGAGGUGAAGACUCAGGUAUGCAGGCUAUAGGGAUUCAAGGUAAAGCUUUAGCAAGAUCAAAGCAUUUCUUUUGCAUAAAAGCUUACUAAGAGUAAAACCUACUUUCAAGUUUUCACUCAAGAUUAUCAUUUAUAACUAACCAAGAUCAUCAUCAAACUUUCAUAAGCAAGUCAUCUCUUUCUUAUACCAAAGAUUCACUUAUUACUACGAUGAUGGGGUGAGGAUUGAGGCUCCAUAUCCGAGGAAACACGGCGAUUCGAAUCGAUUAAACCCAGCUGGGGAUUCAGUACCACACGACAUAUGUAGAACUUAAUCUUGCAUAUGUCAACCUUUUCUAUAGAUCCUCCCAUACAAGAACGGGUCCAGCGUCACCCAAGAGUACAGUACACCACCAUCCUACAGCCAAUCUAGAUGUUUCCCGGUCAUCUCAGAUCCGUAAGGUGGGUACACGCUACUCUCACCAUCUCUCCACUCCCAGUACGCGGUUAGCCGUUCUCAAGUAUCGGAAUAGCUAUAGGUAAGGCUUACCACCGCAUGUGGGCUGUACUCAAAGGUCUCAAUCACAACAGGCCAACAACGGUACGGUCCUUAAUCGACACAGUUGGAGACACUACUUUAAGACUCCAUUCUUAAAGCAAGUCCACCGACCGGUCUCAAGUUGAAACAUUAUUGACCAUAAAAGUAUUCCACAACACCCUUCAAACUUUCUCAUUUGAAAACCUAUCUAAUAAGCAGGGCUAAGCAUACUAAGUAUUUUCAUAAAACAAGUAUCAAGGUUAAUAUUGAAAUCAUCAAGGUAGAUAAUGCAGCAAAUAGGAUUCACUCAACUCCUAUUCACCUAAUGCAUCAUAUUAACUCAAGUGAUAUAAAUAACUUUAUGAAAAUACAAGGAUAGGAUUUAAUGUCCGGGGCUUGCCUUGACCGGAAGGGACGUUCGAUAACUCAGCAAAACCCGAAGGAUCCACAAACUCGGAAGCAACCCACUGAGGAUCAGAUUCUUCCGGAGUGUAUUCUAUACGUAAAAGUGCAUAUGCAUGAUUAUGCUAUACUCAAGGCAUGAUAAAGACAGGUUACAUGUUCUUGGAUGAUAACAACAAAAAUAUGAUUACCUCGAGUACAAUUUACCUUCAUGGUAAAGAAACAAACUAAUCUAGCUAUCAAAGCAUGGAUUAUUACUAAACCAAUUUUAUCAUCUUUAUUAAGCAAUGUUGUGGACCUAUCAUAUCACAAGGAUCAUUUACAUGAUUAAACCAUAACCAGGGAGCAUAUCAUGCUAAGUAACCACUGGUUGCCAAUCAAUCCAAAAUAUCACACAAAGCCUAAAGGAAUAAUUAUUUCUAUUUCUUUUAUAAUUAUUUUAAAUAGCUUUAUUAAGAGACAGAGCAUACUUUAUCAAACAGAGCUGAAAUUAUUCUUGAAGCUAGAUAACAGUAACAUAAGAUCAUAUAUUAAAUUUCAUGAUUUUUGGAUAUACCCAUAAUUUACUAAAAAUCAUGGAAGGUUUAUUCAUUAAUAAACAGAGGCAAUUUAUAGAUACAUGCAAACUAUCAUAAAAUAAAAUUUAAUAUUUUUCCUACACUCUUUACAUUCUCUGGAACCCACACAAAAAUUUUCAUAAUUUUUGGAUCAGCAGAUAAUUUAUUAUACAAAAUUAAACAUACAUAUCAUAAAUUGCACAAAAGAAAAAGAAAAGAACACUGCACAGUGGACGGACCGGAAGCUGGGCCGCAGGCCGGCCCAUUCCAACUCGGCCCGCGCGAACACUGCGCGCGCCUCCCUUUCUCUCAGCGUGGUCACUGACAGGUAGACCCCACCUGUCAGUUCCAUCCCCUACACGCGCGGCGGCUCGGCCGCGACUCCGGCCACCGCGGGCGAGGGUUUCAGCCGGAGUGCGUGUGCGCAUCGGCUUCACCUCAACUCCGCGACUCCAUUGGUACCACUCGCAGACGCUCUACCUCAUUGCUACUACCUCGGCCACGAUAAGAGCGGGCGGACGCCAUGGCCGACUGUCGGCCGGCCACUAGGGCCCGGUAGAGAACAAACGAAAGGAACAGAGAGGUUCGGGGUGGGUGGAGGAGCACGGUGCUCACGUUGCGGGACUCGGGAAGGUAGCGGAAGCUUGGGACGACGGAGGCGGUGCCGUUGGCGGAUGAUCCGAGCUCGGUGAGAUUGUUCCGACGAUCCUGCUCGCGCCCAAAGGAAAAAAUAGAGAGAGCAUGAGUUGCAGGACAGCAAGGCGAAACUCCGACGCCCCUCACCUUGACUCAAAACCUUACGGGAUGGUCUGGCCACGACGAAGUGCCCACGGCGGCGCUCUGUCACCGGCGGGGAGAAAGACGACGAACGCCGGGGCUCUGGUGCGAUAGAGAUAGGAAGGAUAGGUUCGGAAGGUGCGCAAGGAAGUAACCACUUUAUGUCCUCGGUGAAUUUGGAUGAGGAUCACUGGUUACGAUGAAUUCGGAGAUGGACGAGUCGCUGCCCGUCGGUGCUUCGGUGGCCAAACGACGUCGGUGAGCGCGAAAGAAGAAGACACGUCGCGCUCCACUUCGCCAGCAGGUGCUUCACCUUGCCACGGACGCGGACACGCGCUAGGACGGGGUGAAACGGUGGUUCACGCGUUGGCAAACGCCGAUCGACGCUCGGCGGUACACCGCCAUGAACAGGGGCUGGAACUUAACCCCCCCUUACCCAAAAGCCCCUUCUGUCCUUUAGCGAAAAACAACCAAAAUUUGAACAGAAGUCAAAUUUCUGUCAAAAUAAAAGUUGUACAAAAUUUUGUGAGCUACAAAACAUCUUUAAUGACCAAAGACAGAUUUGAAAUGGAAAGGGAUGAAUUUGAGCCAAACAGUUGGAAAUUCAAAACUCAAAUUGGGAAAAAUUCCAAUUUUGAAUUGGGGCAGAUUAGAAAUUCCAAAAUUACUUUUGAUUUUCCAAAACAGCUUGAAAAACUCCCAACAUGAAAGUUGUUCAACUUUUCAAGCCCUACAACUCUCAUGUUGACCAUUUUUCAAAAUGCCAAACAGAUUUUGAAUUGGAGAUUUAAGUUUGAAAAGGGGACACUUUCCGGAAAUCUGUAUUUUCAAAAUUACUUUGAAUUUUGUACUGAAACUUUAAAAACUCAAAACACCAAAGUUGUACAUCUUGACAAGAUCUACAACUUUGCUUUUGAAUUUAACUUCAAAUUUUGCUUGGUUUUUGAUUUGCACAAAAGGGGACAAAUCUAGGGUUUUGAAAACUAGGGUUCCCCCCCUAAGUUUUUCGGAAAAACUUUCACCCAUGGUUUUUAAACUCCAAAACAAGCAUCCAUACAUAAAAUAAGCACACUUUAAAUUCCUAAACACAUUCAUCCAAAAUAAACUUAUUUUAAGUUAAUGCUUCAAAGUUUACGUAACAAUUAAACUAUGCAAUGCUCAUGAUGACAUGUCAUGUUUUAGUUCACUUAACACCAGAGUGUUACAUCGAUGACGGGCGCUAGUCGUCGGCGGCGAUAAGUCUCACCGGCAUGUUGAUGGAAGAAGGGAAGCGGCUCCGCUACUAAGUGAUCGAGGGUGCGCGCGAGAGAGGAGAUGGCAAGGGAAGCAAGGGCGAGAACGAUGACGAAAGGUGGAAGGAGUAAUGGCUGGAAGACCCGACGAUAUUUAUAGACGGCUAACCUCCAAUGGACAAAUCCGACGGAUACGGUAACUUCCCUAAUGAAUGUGCCGCCUAACGGUCCUUAUUUCUCUCGCUGACAGGGCGCUACGAAUUCCACGACGGUACAGUGCUGCAACGGCUCCCGUCUGAAAAGGCACGCCCAACGGGCGAAAAGGCGAACCGCCGCGACCCUUCCUUCAUCUGUAAGACAAGGUACGUACCUGACACGACAAAAAUCUUGAGAGGUCGCAGACUGGCCCGCAGAACGGGUUCGACAGUCGAUCUCGAGUACCAGAGUCAGGGAUGCCCAUCGAAUGUUCGAAAACGAGGCCUCCCUUGAGAACUCGCUGGGGAUGUACAAGGCGAGGAAGAGAGGGUCAAGAGGAAUCCCCACGGAGGGAGGCAACGAGCCGCUGGACUCUAUCGAACGAGACAAGUAUCCUCGAUCACAUUGACCCCACAUUAUGAGAACACCUCCGGGCUGCAGCUGACCCCCUCAAAUGGGGCACAGGUUCUCACUUGGAUCACCCGAUAGGAGCUCGACCUGGGGUAGGUGACGCUUGCUCCACCGGGAGUACGUCCCGACCCCGAUGCGGAACCAGCCGAUCGAGGCCCCAAACCCCUCUUCCGUAGUGAGCAACUUUUGGAGAAGGGGGAAAUCGAGAGCAUCAGGAAAGGCAAAAAAACCCUCGAAGGAGUCAAAGACUCCUCCAAGGGCUCGGGGGCUACCCCCGCGGGGGUCGCUCGCGUGACCCCACAGAAACUCAACCGACGAAAAGAGCCUCUACUCGAGCGCAAGCACUCGAAUAGAGACUCGGGGGCUACUGUCGAGGGUGUCAAUAAGGGAUACCCAAACCAGUGCACAUAACGAGAGGGCCCACAUGUAAAUCGAGGCCCCUGACUCGACGUCCCCCGUUCGCACGUGCGAUUGCCAAAACGCAAUGGCGACCAUAGCCUCAAACACAGAGAAAGGGUCGCGCGAAUUGACCCAGGCUCGACUGAACGACAACCGUCGAAUACGGGGCGGGCUCAUACGAAUCAAUGAGCCUCGAGCCUAAGGACGUCGUUCGCCGCCUGACGCGGGUACGGGAACCAGGGCAUUUAAUGCGCCUGCCGUGUUCUCACCUAACCCAAGAGUCACGGGAAGUGUGAUAGGGAGCAAGCACCCAUCCCAUCACCCUUUUUGCAGCCUUGUCCACCUGAUGAGCCAGAGGAUGGCAGGGCGCAGUGAGACGUUCGAAACGUCAUGUCACGACCCCCCUCGAGACGCCCAAAGUCAGCGCUCCGAUCAGCAGGGCUUUGCAUGGCAUCAGACCCUCGAGUGAACAUGUUCCUCCCCAAAGAAGAGUCAGGCGGUGAAAGACAGCACCACGACCACUCUGCCAUGACUGCAGCCACGACGUACAAGCAUGCCCACGGUUAAGCCAAUCCGGAAUGGCGCGCAAGAGCUAAAUUCAGGGGCACGCGUAAUCAUCACUCGAGUAUUGAGCAACAAGACGGCUCGAGGCCACGUCGGUAUGGAAGCCUCGAGUAGGUCAGCGUACCAUGCCCCUAUCGACCCCUACUCUAUCACCUAUGCCAUGUAACCUAGGUCUCCCCUUGGAACUAUAAAAGGGGAGGCUCGGGAAAGGAUAAGGAGCACGAGACAUACGUAGAAGAACACCCAUACUUCAUCUCCAUCCAUCCACGCAACACUGACUUGUAUUCACCCUUGUACAAGCACUUAGGUGCAAGAUAAUAGAAACAUCUCCCCCCGCUGGACGUAGGGCCUUCUCUUGCCCGAACCAGGAUAAAUCUUUGUGUCUUUCUUGCAUCACCAUCUGGGAAAGAGAACACGCACACAAAUUUCACUCGUUGGUGUGACCCUCCGUGGGGAAAACACCGACAAAGAGAUUUAUUGCAUAUUCAAACCAUGGAUCCAAAGAAACAAGUCAAUAAGUCAAAUCAAGAUGUGCAUGUGUGGCGAAUGAAUGGUGUAUGGUGAUGAUGGUGAUAACAAUGGUGAAAGUCUAAUUCUACUUUUGCUCUAUUGAGGGGAUACAUACCUUUCUUGCUCUUUAGAAACUUUUGAGGAGAAAGAGAUGCUCUAUAUUUUCUUUUUCUUUCCUCUCUGGUGGGUAUCUUGUACCCCUAAUUCUACUGUCGGACACUUGUCCAUUUUUACCUCUCGUCUCACUUUUUCUUUUCUUUCGAGGUUCCGUGUACUUGCCCCUUUUUAUUUCCUCGUAUCCUUUCUUUUUUUCUCUUUUUUUAGAGCACUCAUCUCCUGAAAUAAUAUAGCAAGUGGUAGUAACCAAGAAAACUUGAGCAUUUAUUUCACAGGGAAAAACAAAAAUAGGAGAAUAUUUUUGGCUAUUCUCUCUCGGAUUAGGAGUAGAAUACUUUUAGGUGGUUCUGGAGAUGGAAAUGGGUGGAUAUAUGUGGAUGCGUACUUCCGAGUAGAAGCAACAUGUGAGUGAACGUGCAAGUGAAUCUUGAUUUAACCACAUGACAAGCUUCUAAGGGUCUACACAGCUUAACCACACUCAAUGCUCAUAAGCAGUAAAAAGUAAAUAUGUGGCUCAAAGUCUAGCAAGCAUGUAUAUAUGGCUGUGGUAGGAAUUUAAACUCUCAUCAUACAGGAACUCAUCAUGUGAUAUUUUAAAGAUUUUCAAAGAUAAAAUUCUCCAGAUUUCUAGCAUCUCUAGGAACAGAUAAAUAGCAGCUCAACCUUCACAUAUCAUAUCCGUUAGUAACUUAGACUUCAGAUCAAGUUCUCUUCCCACAAGUUCAGGUUUAGAGCAAGCUUUAAAUUAUAACGAUUAUGUCUAAACUUGAGAGAGAACUUGAAUUUGAAAAAUUAGGCAGAACAACUAUUCAUCAUAUCCAUGCUAUAGUUUUAUUAAGAUUCAGUUUAGCAUAGCCACUUUAUUUAUUUAUUUAUUUAUUUAUUUAUUAAGCACACUAAGCAAAAGAUAUAUAAGCACAAAAUCUUUAUUAGGUUUUUUCAUGGUUAUGUAUAUUUUUAUUUUAAUAUAGUAUAAGUAUAAAUGUAGAUAUAAAUACUUAGCGGGAUAAAUGGGGGUGCUCUCCCCUAAGCUGGAUUUUGACGUAAUUUCUUCUGAUGUAGCUAGCAGGUGGUGGAGGUGUAUUUGAAAGUUGGCAGCACCCUGAUAGCGAUUAGAAUGUCCUCCGUCUGCUAGUAUUCUUGAUCCUUGAAUUCUGUGGAGCUCAAAUAGACAACAAAGCUUUGUGUAACUGAUUAAGUGUUAGCAUAAAUAUCUUAGCCUUUAUCAUGUUGAGCUUCCUCAAUAAAUGCUACUUUCUUUAGUAGGAUCACAAUUUUAUUUUUAUGUUUUCAUUUUUUUAUAGAACAGAACAAUUUAUUAUUAUGUUUUUAUGCCACCACCAUGAAUAUAUUUAUGGGUUUUAUGCCACUUGUAUACUCACAUGGGGCUUACUGGUUUUAACAUUUUUAUUUUCUUUUUAGGAUAGUGUGAACAUAAUUAACUAAGCAAACUAUUUUAAAUAAUUGAAAGGAAAAGCAUAACUACCAAGUUUACCUCUUGACAAGGCGUUCGGUGUUUUUAAGUCCUCCGAACGGGACUCUUUGUUUUCUAGUCGUCGCGGGAUUCGCUGGAUGGCGUAGUCGGUGGUUCCGGCGGCGCCUCCUCUUCAUGUAUAACUAUCUUCUCUCUCCACACCUGACUCGGUGCUACGGUCUCCUUAGGACAGUUCUGUUCAAGCUGUAUGUCUUCAGACCUUACCACUUCUCCUUCGUAGUCUGCCCAUCCGUCCUUGAUGAUUUGCCUCCUAUGGUUGCGGUUGUGUCGUCUUCUUCUUGUCCUGACCUGCUUAGAGUCUUCAACUAUAUUGUUAGGGUCAGUAAAAUAGCGGCGUACCUUCUCAGAGGGGAAGUGCAUGUGGACUUCUCCGGUUCCAAUGUAGAUGAUUGCUUUAACAGUGCUGAGGAAUGGUCUCCCAAGGAUGAUGGGUGGAUCGUAGUCGUCUUCUCCCAUGUCAAUAACCUGAAAGUCAAUAUGGACAAAAUGAUCGUCUAUUUUGACAGGAACAUAUGUUACUAUACCUUCAACCUUUCGGAAUGUCUGAUCUGCCAUCUAGAGCUGAAUGUAUAUCGGUUUUAGGGGCAUGGUUCCGAACAAGAGCCGAUAGGUGACUGCGGCCAUUAUGUUGACACCCGACCUGGUGUCGCAAAGUGUCUUGUAGAAGUUAAAUCCAUUAAUGGAGCAUUGGAUGCUUGGCAUACCUGGGUCGUCCUUCUUGGUUAGGAACGGUGACUUGAGUCGACGAUCUUGACCUCCGUGAACUGCAGUGACCAUCUUAGCUGACUCGGUCCACACUUGCUUGUUCUUGUUCCUCCUGUUGGUCCUCUUCCUUGGUUCAUGUCGGGAUUGUUCUGGGAUUUGUGUAGUCUUGUUCUUGAAGGAAAAUGUCUCCUUCCUCCCUUUGAUGUAAAAACUGAUCUUGGCAGCACUAGCAUAGAUGACAGCUCCCAAGGUGUUCAGGAAUGGCCUCCCUAAGAUGUCGGGUGCCCUCUCAUCAUUUCUGGUCUCUAUCACUACGAAGUCUGCUAGGGCGUACAAGGUACCAACUCGGACGCAGAGGUUCUUCAAUAUUCCCUUGGGGAAACUUAGCGUCCGAUCAACAAGCUGCAAACACAUGGUUGUUUCUAAUAAAGGAUAUGUAAAGAAUUUUUCAUAGAGUACCCUGGGCAUAAUGUUGACGCUGGAGCCAAAGUCGCAGAGUGCUUCUGGGAAGUCCACCAUGCCGAUGGAGAUCAGGAUGACGGGGCGUCCUGGAUCGCCUCUCAUGACCGGCAGAAGGUCAGUAGUAACUUCCACAAUGGGGUUACUCCAGUAGUUACCUAUAUCAAACAUGUCUACAAGAUUUGCAGAUUCUAAUCCUUCUGGUUGUGAUGGUAUACCGGGGUUAGUAGCAGGAACAGCAGCAGUUAUUUGAUUUAACUGAGAUUCAAUCAUUUUAUUAAAGCUAAUUUGAUUCUUGAUGGGAGAAGAGAAAUUAUCCAUUCUAUUAUUUAUAUUUUCUAGCAUUUUAUCAUUAGAUGCUAAUUUCUUAGAUAGGUUAUCCAUUAGCUUUCCUCGAUUAGACACUAACUCUCUCAGAGGUGGAAAAUAAUUAUUAUUCUUGUAAGAAUUAUUAUCUUGAUAAUUACCUGAGUAGUUAGGCCUCUUUUGAUUCCAACCUUGAUUUUGCUGAGGACGGUUGUAGUAAUUGUUGUUGUUGUUGUUGUUGUUGAUGUAGUUCAUGCCCUCAAGCAUCUCAGGGCAGUGAUUGCCUGAGUGUCCAGUAUCUCCACACUCCUCACAAGUCAUGUGAGAGUCGUAGAUGUACAUGACUUCUUUCUUCUCUCCAGCUCUAUCAUCGAGCUUCUUCAUGAGCAGGUCUAGCUUAGCAGACAGCAUGUCUACCUCCUUGAGCUGAUGCAUACCUCCACCUCUCUUGCGUGUCUGGGUCCUUUCUUCAUUCCAGCCUUGGUUGGACGCCAUCUUCUCCACAAGAGCUGUGGCUUCUGAUAUGGUGAGGGAUAAGAAUACUCCUCCAGCUGCAGCAUCCAUGGUCUCUCGGGCACUAUUGCCGAGCCCAUGAUAAAAUGUCUACAUCAGUAGCCAGCUCUCCAUUCCAUGAUGGGGACAUUCUAGGAUGUAGUCUUGGAAGCACUCCCAUGCUUCUGGAAUGGAUUCAUCAUGCUGUUGUUGAAAACUUGUAAGUUUCCCACGGAGAGCAUUGGUCUUGCCCAUGGGAAAGAACUUAGCCAGAAAGUCCAUGGAGCAGAGUGCCCACGUAGUAUUCUUCUCCUUUGUAGCGUAGAACCACUGCUUCGCUCUCCCCAACAGUGAGAAUAGGAAGAGGCGAAGUAGUAUAGCAUGUCUGGGGACUCCUGAUAUGGUGAAUGUGCUGCAAAUCUCUAGAAAGUGUUGGAGAUGAGAACUAGCAUCUUCGUGUGUCUUCCCACAGAACUGGUUGGCUUGCACCAAGUUGAUGAGUCCAGGCUUGAGCUCAAAGUUGUCGUCGAUCUCUGCAGCAGGUCCAGUGCGGAUGUUGUCCAUAGUGGGAGCUGAGAACUCGCGGAUCGAUUUGUUCGCCAUAACUUCGAACUCUAAAGACAAGUUCUGGGUGAAACUUCGGUGAUCUACUUGAUUGGAUGAAGCUUUGUGCUGAAGUGUUGACGAUCUCUUCUUGAGCUUGGCUCUUGUUUUUGUGAAUAAUGCUUCGGGAUUGUCAACAAAAUUUCCUGGAAGAUGUCUUCUAUUCAUACAUUACCCUGCAUAAAAUAAUCGAAAUAGAAAAAUACAGGGGUAAAACUGUAUGAGAGAAUUAAUAAUCUCAAUCAUAUUAGUGAUGCGAAUGAUGACUCAAAAUUCCGUAUUCAUUCCUUAUUAGUAAUCAACCUUCCCCGGCAACGGCGCCAAAAAUGCUUGUUGGGCAUUCUUAACGUCAUUACCAAAAGUAGACUUAGUUUUCUAAUUCUGAUAAUGGUGCCAAAAAUGUCGAACCUAUCCCUCAUGCCACUUAAGCUAAGUUGUCAUCCCCAGCAUGACAUGAGAGACGCGUUAUUGAAAUAUGCAAUUGCUCUUCUGAAUGAAUAAUAAAUGAGAUCUGCAAGCGCACAGAUUAAUACCGAUGUAGCAUUUUAACCGAGAAGUAUUCCAGGUAUCUUUAUUUAUAUUUUUACCACUGGGAAGGGAUUGCUAAUCAUCAAUGUUGAUUAUGGAAUGAAAUAUGGAAUUGAGUAUCUAUCAUUGCAUGUAUAAUAGAGAGCAUUUAUCUAUCUCUUUCAUACAGGGAUGUCGACGAAAGCUGGUCGGCAGUCUACCUUGGGGUAUACCCGCGGUAGUAGUUUAUCGGUAGACGGUGCGCAAACUACGAACUCGAUGGUGACGCAAGACACGGACAAGCUUUUUAUCCAGGUUCGGCCGCCGAGUUGGCGUAAUACCUACGUCCUGCGUCUGGUUGUAUUGGAUUGUGUUGAGAGAUCAUCUGUAUGACUUAUCCUAGGGACCCCUGCCCCUCCUUAUAUAUCCUGAAGGGACAGAGUUACAAGCAAAGUAUCCUAUUUGGUACAAAAUCUUGUAGCCUUGCGGUGCACGCCGACCAGUCGUGCGCCGCACGUCUUCAUCUUGUGGGCCGAGCCACCUCUGAUGGUGCGGCCCAUAUAGGCCCAUGAGGGUAUAGGGGUUUAUACCCCCACAGCUAGUCCCCGAGCACCAUGUAUUGUGAUGUAACACGUCGUCUUGAGCUUCUUCGAUCAGCGAGGCUUGACGUCUUCAAUAAACAGGAAAGUCGCCCAAACAGUUGCAACGGUAUUUUGACCAACUCAAAAGACAGUUGAUCAACAUUGACAUCAAAGAAGCAGGUUGUUCGAAGAAUGCAUGGUGCUCCAAAUUAAAAAAGAUUUCUUUCCUGGUGAAGUGUGCCCACUUUACUUUUCUGAAAAGUAUAGUCUUUCAAAAAGCAAGCACAUUCACCGCAAGGUGAAGUGUGCCCACUUAGUCCCCGAGCCUGGUAGUAGGUGACGUAGGCACGUGGUGCUAGGGUCAAAAGAAAAGUCCUCAAAGAAAUUCUGAAACUGAGAUGCAUCGCCAGAUGCAUCGUACCGAUGUAGUCCCCGAGCUUGCUGGAAGGCGAAGUAUGAGCCUUGUAGCAAGGUCUAAAAAAUUGAAUUUACCAGUCCCCGAGCAUAUCAUGCUCGUAUGCAAUUGAAUAGGCUAAUCGACCAGUCCCCGAGCAUAGAACGCUCGGUGGUCGGUACAGUCCCCGAAUUCUCAAAUUGGUGGGCUGGUCGACCAGUUCCCGAGCGUAUAGUGCUCGGUGGUCGGUGCAGUCCCCAAGCUCUUAAAUUGGUGAGCUAGUCGACCAGUCCCCGAGCGUAUAGUGCUCGGUGGUCGGCACAGUCCCCGAGCACGUCGUAGGGACCGGUGGACAAGUCCCCGAGCGUGGUUGGGAACGUAAACGUGCUCGGUGGUCGGCACAGUCUUCGAGCAUAGCAUAGAGAGUAGUCGACAAGUCCCCGAGCGUGGUUGGGAACGUAAACGUGCUCGGUGGUCGGAGCAGUCCCCGGGCACAGCGUAGGGAAUAGUCGACGAGUCCCCGAGCGUAGCUUGUCGACUGGGCCAAACUCCUGAAAAAUAAAUAUAGAGAAAAUAGGUAGUACAUGAUGUAUAAAUAAACUCUAGAUAAAAAAUCAGCACUGAGAUAAGUUUUAGACUUUUUAUUAUAAAAUUAGCACGAGUAGUUAAUUCAUCCUAGAGCUUGUACCAGCUCUGGUCUAGCCAACAAUCAGCAUGAGGUGCGGAACCUAGACACGCGUGGGAUUGCCAGCCUCGCCAGAGAGCUACUGCCGACCACCCGGAACGCAGAGGGCGGAUCUCGUGCACGUGUAGGGAGGAGUCGGAGACAGUACCGGCUCUGGAAAGCUCGUGUAGGAGAAAAAACUAGUGUGGCUAAACAAAAAGUUGUUUUUGAAGGAUAAUAAAAAAUAUUAUGCCAAAAAUAAAUAAGAUAUUAGAAGUGUACUUAUCUUUGGAUGAAAGUCUGGUCGGUAACGAUAAAAUUGUCUGGCCCUCGAGCUUUUGGACGUGUUAUCGUGACGGUGGUCGCGGUUGUCGUAGCGCCGUUCUUCGCGGCGAUUAUUAUUGCGACUGGUGGUCAGAGCAAGUAGGCCAAACAACUUGGUCGUUAGCCCGAGCAGAUCGAUGUCGUCGAUCUGCCUCUCUUUGUAGUAGGGAAGCAGGUGACGCAUUGUCGGCGUGGUCGGAGACGCUGCUGGUGUGGUCGAAACCGUAGCCAGCGUGGUUGAAGCCGCCGCCGACGUCGAUGAAGAAGUGGUUGGCGCAGAUCGGAUCUACACCUCCUCCGUGGUCAUGGCGGUGAAGUUGUUGAGGCUGACGGUGAACGUGAAGUCGCCCGCCAUGGCCGCGAAGUCGGGGAUGAUGGCCAUCUUGUUCGUCGGGAGAGCUGUACGCACACCCCCUACCUGGCGCGCCACUGUCGACGAAAGCUGGUCGGCAGUCUACCUUGGGGUAUACCCGCGGUAGUAGUUUAUCGGUAGACGGUGCGCAAACUACGAACUCGAUGGUGACGCAAGACACGGACAAGCUUUUUAUCCAGGUUCGGCCGCCGAGUUGGCAUAAUACCUACGUCCUGCGUCUGGUUGUAUUGGAUUGUGUUGAGAGAUCAUCUGUAUGACUUAUCCUAGGGACCCCUGCCCCUCCUUAUAUAUCCUGAAGGGACAGAGUUACAAGCAAAGUAUCCUAUUUGGUACAAAAUCUUGUAGCCUUGCGGUGCACGCCGACCAGUCGUGCGCCGCACGUCUUCAUCUUGUGGGCCGAGCCACCUCUGAUGGUGCGGCCCAUAUAGGCCCAUGAGGGUAUAGGGGUUUAUACCCCCACAAGGGAUAAAUGUCAUAUAAAAUACAGAUAAAGUAUGAAUGGUGACAAAGAUAAUUAAUCUGAUCAGCAUAACUAGCCACAUCUAAUAAUGAUAAGCACCUCAAAAGAUAUUUUAGCAAGUCAUUAUCAUGGAAUUAGGAUGAACUACAAGAAUAUUUCCUAAGUUAUUCUUAACUAUAAAGUCUAGCAUAUCAUAGUUAGUGCAAUUAUACUUGGCAAUCAUUGCGAGACAGGACUACGCCCAUGCAUAGUGAUAUUUAUCAAGGAAGAUGAGAAACAUAGCAAUCACUCCCCUAUAAUAAUGUUGUUCCGCCUGCCCUAUACAUGAGAGGGGGACUAUAUAAGAAUCAAUGGAGCUGUCACUACCACGAACUACCCCGCAGAUAAAUACGGUAUAGGCACCACGCCUACACAAUACUUAUCAUUUACCCACUGUACACAUAGAUAAACGCUAUACGAUCCUAAACAUGUAUAUAAUUCCAAUCUAACUAAACCAAGCAUAUAACUAUGAUAAACUAAGAACAAUAUAAUUGCAAAUAUAAACAAGUAGAGCAAAGUCAUAAUCAAUAUAUUGAAGUAGAACAAAGUCAUAUUCACAAUAUUGAAGAACAAUGAUGAACAAAUGAAGAACAGUAGAGGAAUUACCAAGAAUCCUCUUGACAGAUCCGGAAACCAAUCGAAGAUUCACUCCUUCUAGUUCUAAUCCUAUGUAGCUAUGCUAAACUAGAGAUCUAGUUGAUGUGGUGGCUCUGGGGCUUGAUUAGAGACUUCUUCUCCUGAGAUGAAUGAAUUAGGGUUUCCCAGAGGUCCUCUCCUCCAGGGGCCAGGGGGUCUGCUUAUAUAGUACCUCCAAAUGAAUAUGGACCGUCGGAUCAAACCGACCUUAAUCGCACGGUUUUCCUUAAUCUCUUAGGUCGGUGGAGCAUGAUCCGCGAGGCGGAGCCUGAUUGGCUCUUAGGCUAGGGCGAGCGCCCAAGGGGGGAGGGCGGGCGCCCUGCCCCCGGGCCCGUUUGGCCUCCCGCUUGUUCCCAUGGCUUCUGGACUCUUCUAGAUGUUGGAUAAUUGUGCGGUACGUUAAUAUCUCUAUGUAAACCCGAUGUGUGGGUCUUUCCUCGCUAUUUCCUGAUAACCCCCUGCAGAAAUAGACAAACACCAAAACUCGUGGAAUUCUAUCAGAUAAAACCCUAAGUCUUGGAGUUGGUUAUUUUUGGAUCCUUUUCUCUAUUUAUUUGUUGAUUAUAUUUGAUAGUUAAGGACCGUCAACAGUGUUCGAGCGAUGUAAUCGAACUUUGUUGGACAUGGUUCGAUCUAUGAUGAGCCAGUCAGACCUACCUUUAUCAUUUUGGGGAUACGCUCUAGAAACAGCCGCUUUCACUUUAAACAGGGUACCAUCUAAGUCUAUAGUUAAGACACCAUAUAAGAUGUGGACUGGUAAGUGUCCCAGUUCGUCUUUUCUAAAAAUUUGGGGUUGUGAAGUUUAUGUCAAACGACUUAUAUAAGAUUGUCAAACGACUUAUAUAAGAUAAACUAACACCCAAGUCAGACAAGUGUUUUUCAUGGGAUACCCAAAGGAAACUUUAGGGUAUUAUGUCUAUAACCGGACAGAGGGCAAAGUGUUUGUUACUCGAAACAGUGUUUUCUUAGAGAAAGAGUUUCUCAAAAGGGAGAAAAAUGGACAUAAGGUUUAUCUUAAAGAAGUUCAAGAUAAACCAGUUGGGAAUGACUCUACGAGCGAUGCUAAUGUAGCAGAACAAGUUGAGACGCCUGUGGUAGUAGAAACACCAACACAACCACGAAGAUCAGCAAGACUUCACGAAUUGCGGGGGGAAUUGUUAUUGUUAGACGAUGACGAACUUGCAAAUUAUGCAGAAGUAAUGAUGGACCCAGAUUCUGAGAAAUGGCAAAGUGUCAUGAGAUCCGAGAUAGAUUCCAUGGGAGACAAUCAAGUUUGGAACUUGGUUGAUCCGCUUAAUGGGGUUAGACCCAUGGAGUGUAAAUGGAUCUAUAAAAACAAAAAGGAUAUGGAUGGAAAUGUUUGUUGACGGUCCUUAAGUAUCAAAUUUAAUCAGCAAAUAAAUAAAGAAAAUGAUCCAAAUGAAAUCAAUAUCCAGACUUAGGGUUUUAUCUGACAGAAUUCCACGAGUUUUGGUGUUUGUCUAUUUCUGUAGGGGGUUAUCAGGAAUUAUGGAAGAAAGGCCCACACGUCGGGAUUACAUAGAGAUAUUAACGUGUCACGCAAUUUUCUAUCAUCUAGAAGACUCCAGAAGCCAAGGGAGCGAACAGGAAGGCGAUCGAGCCCGGGGGCAGGGCGCCCGCCCUCCCCCCUAGGGCGCCCGCCCUGUUCUGUUCACCAAUCACAGCCAACUUCACGGAUUACGCUCCACCGACCUAAAGGAUCAAGGAUAACCGUUCAAUCAAUGUCGGUUUGAUCCAACGGCCCAUAUUCACUUGGAAGGACUAUAUAACCAUACCCCCUAGCCCCUGGAGGAGAGCACCUCUCAACCCUAAUUCAUUAUUCAUCAGGGAGAAGAAGCCUCUGAUCAAGCCCUAGAGCCACCACAUCAAUUACAUCUCUAGAUUAGCAUAGCUACAUAGGAUUAGAACUAGAAGGAGUCAAUCUUCGAUUGGUUUCCGGAUCUGUCAAGAGGAUUCUUGGUAAUUCUCUAUUGUUCUUCAAUUGUUCUUCGAUAUUAUGAAUAUGACUUUGUUCUAUUUCAAAAUAUUGAUUAUAACUUUGCUCUACUUGUUUAUAUUCGCAAUUAUAUUGUUCUUAGUUUAUCAUAGUAAUAUACUUGGCUUAGUUAGAUUGGAAUUUUAUACAUGUUUAGGAUCGUAUAGCGUUUAUCCCUCGGAUCCAUGGGUAAAUGAUAGAUAUUGUGUAGGCAUGGUGCUUAUACUGUAUUUAUCUGCGAUUGUACCCUAUAUGCCAGAUCGCGGGGUAGUUCGUGGUAGUGACAGCUCCAUUGAUUCUUAUAUAGUCCCCCUCUCGUGUAUAGGGCUGGUAGAGCAACAUUAUUACAGGGGAGUGAUUGCGAUGUUUCUCAUAUUCCUUGAUAAUAUCACUAUGCAUGGGUGUAGUCUUGUCUCACAAUGAUUGCUAAGUAUAAUUGCACUAACUAUGAUAUGCUAGACUGUAUAGUUAAGAAUAACUUAGGAAAUAUUCUUGUAGUUUGUCCUAAUUCCAUGCUAAUGUCUUACUAGAAUAUCUAAUUGAGGUGCUUAUCAUAUUUAUAUGUGGCUAAGUUAUGCUGAUCAGAUUAAUUAUCUUUGUCACUAUUCAUUACUUUAUAUAUAUCCUUUAUGUGAUACUUAUUCCUGUAUGAAAGAGAUAGAUAGAUGCUCUCAAUUAUACAUGCAAUGAUAGAUACUCAAUUCUAUAUUUCAUUCUAUAAUCAACAUUGGUGGUUACUAAUCCCUUCCCAGUGGUAAAAAUAUAAAUAACGAUACCUGGAAUACUUCCCGGUUAAAAUGCUACAUCGAUAUUAAUCUGUGCGCUUGCAGAUCCCAUUUGAUUAUUUAUUUAGAAGAGCAAUUGCAUAUUUCAAUACCGCGUUUCUUAUGUCAUGCUGGGGAUGACAACUUGGCUCAAGUGGCCUGAGGGAUAGGCUUGGUAUUUUUGGCGCCGUUAUCAGAAUUAGAAAACUAAGUCUACUUUUGGUAGUGACGUUAAGAAUGCCCAACAAGCAUUUUUGGCGCCGUUGCCGAGGAAGGUUGAUUACUAAUCAGGAAUGAAUAUAGAAUUUUGAGUCAUCAUUCGCAUCACUAAUAUGAUUGAGAUUAUCAAUUCUCUCAUACAGUUUUACCCUGAUAUUUUUCUAUUUUAUCUUAUGUAGGGUAAUGUAUGAAUAUAAGACAUCUUCCAGGAAAUUUUGUUGACAAUCCUGAAGCGUUAUUCAGAAAAACAAGAGCCAAGCUCAAGAAGAGAUCAUCAACACUUCAGCAUGAAGCUUCAUCCAAACAAGAAGAUCACCGAAGUUUCACCCGAAACGUGUCUUCCGAAUUCGAAGCCAUGGCGAACAAAUCAAUCCGUGAGUUCUCAGCUACCACUACGGACAACAUCCGCACUGGACCUGCUGCAGAGAUCGAUAGUAAUUUUGAACUCAAGCCUAGAAUUAUCAACAUGGUGCAAUCCAACCAGUUCUGUGGGAAGGCACAUGAAGAUGCUUGUGCUCAUCUCCAACACUUUCUGGAGAUUUGCAGCACAUUCACCAUAUCAGGAGUCCCCAAAGAUGCUAUAAUACUUCGCCUCUUCCCAUUCUCACUGUUAGGGAGAGCGAAGCAGUGGUUCUACGCUACAAAGGAGAAGAAUACUACGUGGGCACACUGCUCCACGAACUUUCUGGCUAAAUUCUUUCCCAUGGGCAAGACCAAUGCUCUCCGUGGAAAAAUUAUAAGUUUUCAGCAACAACAUGAUGAAUUCGUUCCAGAAGCAUGGGAGCGCUUCCAAGACUACAUCCUAGAAUGUUCCCAUCAUGGAAUGGAGAGCUGGCUACUGAUGCAUACGUUUUAUCAUGGGCUCGGAAACAGUGCCCGAGAAACCAUGGAUGCUGCAGCUGGAGAAGCAUUCCUAUCACUCACCAUACCACAAGCCACAGCUCUUGUGGAGAAGAUGGCAUCCAACCAAGGCGGGAAUGAAGAAAGGACCCAGACACACAAGAAAGGUGGAGGUAUGCAUCAUCUCAUGGAGGUAGACAUGCUGUCUACAAAGCUAGACUUGCUCAUGACGAAGCUCAAUGAUAGAGCUGGAGAUAAGAAAGAAGUUAUGCACAUCUACGACUCUCACAUGACUUGUGAGGAGUGUGGAGAUACUGGACACUCAGGCAAUCACUGCCCUGAGAUGCUUGAGGAUGUGAACUACAUCAACAACUACUACUACUACUACUACUGUCCUCAACAAAAUCAAGGUUGGAAUCAACAAAGGCCUAACUACUCAGGUAAUUAUCAAGGUAACAGUUCUUACAAUAAUAAUAAUAAAAAUUUUCCACCUCUGAGAGAGUUAGUGUCUAAUCAAGAAAAGCUAAUGGAUAACCUAUCUAAGAAAUUGGCAUCUAAUGAUAAAAUGCUAGAAAAUAUAAAUAAUAGAAUGGAUAAUUUCUCUACUGCCAUCAAGAAUCAAAUUAGCUUUAAUAAAAUGAUUGAAUCUCAGCUAAAUCAAAUAGCUGCUGUUGUUCCUGCUACUAACCCCGGUACACCAUCACAACCGGAAGGAUUAGAAUCUGCAAAUCUUGUAGACAUGUUUGAUGCAGGUAACUACUGGAGUAACCCCGUCACUGAAGUUACUAUUGACCUUCUGCCGGUCAAGAGAGGCGAUCCAGGACGCCCCGUCAUCCCGAUCUCCAUCGGCAUGGUGGACUUCUCAGAAGCAAUCUGCAACUUUGGCUCCAGCGUCAAUAUUAUGCCUAGGGUACUCUAUGAAAAAAUCUUUACAUAUCCUUUAUUUAGAAACAAUCAUGUGUUUGCAGUUUGCAGAUCAGGCGUUAAGUUUCCCAAAGAGAAUAUUCAAGAACCUCUGCGUCUGAGUUGGUAUCUUGUAUGCCCCAGCAGCAGACUUCGUGGUGAUAGAGACCGGAAAUGAUGAGAGGGCACCUGUCAUCUUAGGGAGGUCAUUCUUAAACACCUCGGGAGCUGUCAUCUAUGCUAGUGCUGCCAAGAUCAGUUUCUACAUCAAAGGGAGGAACGAGACGUUUUCCUUCAAGAAUAAGACUACACAAAUCCCAGAGCAAUCUCGAUAUGAACCAAGGAAGAGGACCAACAGGAGGAACAGGAACAAGCAAGUGUGGACCGAGUCAGCUAAGAUGCUCACUGCAGUUCAUGAAGGUCAAGAUCAUCAACUUAAGUCACCAUUUCUGACCAAGAAGGACGACCUAGGAAUGCCAAGCAUCUAUUGCUCCAUAAAUGGAUACAACUUUUACAAGACGUUUUGCGACACAGGAUCGGGCGUUAACAUAAUGUCUGCAGUCACCUAUCGGCUCUUGUUCAGAACCAUGCCCCUAAAAUAAACAUACAUUCAGCUCCAGAUAGCAGAUCAGACAUUUCGAGAGGUUAAAGGUAUAGUAACUGAUGUCCCUGUCAAAAUAGACGAUCAUUUUGUCUACACAGACUUUCAGGUUAUUGACAUGGGAGAAGACGAAUAUGAUCCACCCGUCAUCCUUGGAAGACCGUUCCUCAGCACCGUUAAAGCAAUCAUCUACAUUGGAACUGGAGAAGUCCAUAUGCACUUCCCCUCAGAGAAGGUACGCCGCUAUUUUACUGACCCUAACUAUAUAGUUGAAGACUCUAAGCAGGUCAGGACAAGAAGAAGACGACGCAACCGCAACCAGAGGAGGGAAAUCAUCAAGGACGGAUGGGCAGACUAUGAAGGAGAAGUGAUAAGAUCUAAAGACAUACAGCUUGAACAAGAUUAUCUUGAGGAGACCGUAGCACCGAGUCAGGUGUGGAGAGAGAAGAUAACUAUACAUGAAGAAGAGGCGCCGCCGGAAGCACCGACUACGCCACUCAACGAACCCCAGGACGACUAAGAAAACAGAGAGUCCAGUUCGGAGGACUUAAAAACACCAAAUGCCUUGCCAAGAGGUAAACUUGGUAGUUAUCCUUUUCCUUUCAAUUAUUUAAACUAGUUUACUUAGUUAAUCAGGUUCAUAUCAUUUUAAAAAGAAAAUAAAAAUGUUAAAAAAAUAGUAAGCCCCAUGUGAGUAUACGAGUGGCAUAAAACCCACUUCACUGUGGUGGCAUAAAAAUAAAAUAAAUAGUUCUUUUCUGCUUUAUAAAAUAAAAAUAUAAAAAUAGAGAGUAACACUUAUUAAGGAGGCUCAACAUGAUAAAGGCUAGAUAUUUAUGCUAACACCUAAUCAGUUCCACAAAGCUUUGUUGUCUAUUUGAGCUCCACAGAAUUUAAGGAUCAAGAAGACUGGCAGACGUAGGACAUUCUAAUCGCUGUCAGGAUACUGCCGACUUUCAAAUACACCUCUGCCACCUGCUAGCUACAUCACAAGAAAUCACGUCAAAAUUCAGCUUGGGGGAGAGCACCCCCAUUUAUCCCGCUAAGUAUUUCUAUCUAUCUUUAUACUCAUACUAUAUUAAAAUAUAAAUAUACAUAACUAUGAAAAACCAAAUAAAUAUUUUGUGCUUAUAUAAAUAUAUAUCUUUUGCUUAGUGUGCUUAAUAAAUAAAUAAAGUCGCUAUGCUAAACUGAAUCUUAAUAAUAAAACUCUAGCAUGGAUAUGAUGAAUAAUUUCUCUGCCUAAUUUUCAAAUUUGAGUUCUCUCUCUAGUUUAGACAUAACUGUUAUAAUUUAAAGCUUGCUCUAAACCUGAACUUGUGGGAAGAGAACUUGAUCUGAAGUCUAAGUUGUUAACGAAUAUGAUAUGGGAAGGUUGAGCUGUUGUUUAUCUGUUCCUAGAGAUGCUAGAAUUCUAGAGAAUUUUAUCUUUGAAAAUGUUUAACACGUGAUGAGUUCCUGUAUGAUGAGAGUAUAAAUUCCUACCACAGCCAUAUAUACAUGCUUGCUAGACUUUGAGCCACACAUUUACUUUUUACUGCUUAUUAGCAUUGAGUGUGGUCAAGCUGUGUAGACCCUUAGGAGCUUGUCAUGUGGUUAAAAUCAAGAUUCACUUGCACGUUCACUCACACAUGCUGCUUCUACUUCGAAAGUACGCAUCCACAUAUAUCCACUCAUUUCCAUCUCCAGAGCCACUCAAAAGUAUUCUACUCCUAAUCUGGGAGAGAAUAGCCAAAAACAUUUCUGUUUUCCCCUAUAAAAUAAAUGCUCAAGUUAUCUUGGUUACUACCACAUGCUAAAUUAUUUCAAGAGAUGAGUGCUCUAAAAAAAGAAGAAAAAAUAAACACGAGGAAAUAAAAAUGGGCAAGUGCCCGGAACCUCGUAAGAAAAGAAAAAAGUGAGACGAGAGGUAAAAAUGGACAAGUGUCCGACAGUAGAAUUAGGGGUACAAGAUACCCACCUGAGAGAAAAGAAAAAGAAAAUGUAGAUCAUCUCAUUCUCCUCAAAAAGUUUCAAAAGAGCAAGAAAGGUAUGUAUCCCCUCAAGAGAGCAAAAGUAGAAUUAGACUUUCACCAUUGUUAUCACCAUCAUCACCAUACACCAUUCAUUCGCCACACAUGCACAUCUUGAUUUGACUUAUUGACUUGUUUCUUUGGAUCUAUGGUUUGACUAUACAAUAAAUGUAUUGUAAGUAUGUAUACUUUAUCUCCCACCUAUGAGCUCCAGAUAUCAAAAGCCUUAUUAGAGUAGGGUGAGAGAGAAGGCAAUGUCAAUAUGCCUUAUACCACAGAUACUACAUAUUUUGAGAGAAGGCAUCUACCAUCACUGCCUUGGUAAGGAUCCAGAAAUACCACAAAAGAGAGAUCUGAGAGAGUCAUACAAAGAAUCUCUGAGUUUUAUUUGAAAAUCUAUAAAAAACUGCAGGGCUAUAGCUGAUCAAGAAUAAGAGACAUGGCACUUGAUUAGACCGUUCUAUCUUUUAACUACUCAAGACAGAAGUGACGGUUACAAGUCCCAUGGUAAAAGGUAAAAUGAAUAAGUUUUACAUCUUGACAGUUUACUCUAACUCAGAGAUAAGAUCUCAUUUGAAAGCAUGUGUACCGUCAAUUUUCAAAGGUAUUUCAGCAACUUCUGAUCCAUCGCUGAGAUUAUCCUUGCUCAGGGACGAGCAAGAGGUAAGCUUAGGGGAGUUUGUUGACGGUCCUUAAGUAUCAAAUUUAAUCAGCAAAUAAAUAAAGAAAAGGAUCCAAAUGAAAUCAAUAUCCAGACUUAGGGUUUUAUCUGACAGAAUUCCACGAGUUUUGGUGUUUGUCUAUUUCUGCAGGGGGUUAUCAGGAAUUAUAGAAGAAAGGCCCACAGUCAGGAUUACAUAGAGAUAUUAACGUGCCGCGUAAUUUUCUAUCAUCUAGAAGACUCCAGAAGCCACGGGAACGAACGGGAAGGCGAUCGGGCCCGGGGCAGGGCGCCCGCUGUUGGGUAUUCUUAACAUCAUUACCAAAAGUAGACUAAGUUCUCUAAAUCUAGCAACGGUGCCAAAAAUGCCAAACCUAUCCCUUACACCACUUAAGCCAAGUUGUCAUCCCCAGCAUGAUAUAAGAGACGCGGUAUUGAAAUAUGCAAUUUCUCUUCUAAAUAAAUAAUGAAUGGGAUCUGCAAGCGCACAAAUUAAUACCGAUGCAGCAUUUUAACCGGGAAGUAUUCCAGGUAUCGUUAUUUAUAUUUUUACCACUGGGAAGGGAUUAAUCAAUCAUCAAUAUUGAUUACAGAAUAGCAUAUGAGAUUGAGCAUCUAUCAUUGCAUGUAUAAUUGAGAACAUUAUAUCUAACUCUUCAUACAGGGAUAAGUGUCACAUAAAAGAUAUAUGAAAUAAUAAUAGUGACAAGGAUAACUAAUCUGAUCUAGCCAC
rnacentral:lncRNA from 1 species